rnacentral:rRNA from 1 species
UACGUAGGUGUCGAGCGUUGUCCGGAUUUAUUGGGCGUAAAGCGCCCGCAGGCGGCUUGGUAAGUUCGAGGUGAAAUCUCCCGGCUCAACUGGGAGGGUGCCUCGAAAACUAUCAGGCUUGAGGCAGGGAGAGGGAUGUGGAAUUCCCGGUGUAGUGGUGAAAUGCGUAGAUAUCGGGAGGAACACCAGUGGCGAAGGCGGCAUCCUGGCCCUGUCCUGACGCUCAGGGGCGAAAGCGUGGGGAG